AAGAAAUGAAAAAUAAUAUGUAUAUCAAUAUAGGAAAUAAAAAGAUAGGUGUUAAAGUAUAGAAACUAAGUGGAAGAUUAUGUAACUAUAAGAAUAAAUGAGUAAUUAAAUUAUUUAAAAUCUAAACCUAAACUUCCUCUUAGAUGGAAGAAUAACCAGUUUCUUGAUUAUUUCGUAUCCAUGCACACCUUCGGACUUCAACGGAUUAGUUUCCAUUUCUUUGAUUUCUCCUUUG
rnacentral:lncRNA from 1 species